AGUGAACGCUGGCGGUGGGCCUAACACAUGCAAGUCGAACGGCAGCACAGUAAGAGCUUGCUCUUACGGGUGGCGAGUGGCGGACGGGUGAGGAAUACAUCGGAAUCUACUUUUUCGUGGGGGAUAACGUAGGGAAACUUACGCUAAUACCGCAUACGACCUACGGGUGAAAGCAGGGGAUCUUCGGACCUUGCGCGAUUGAAUGAGCCGAUGUCGGAUUAGCUAGUUGGCGGGGUAAAGGCCCACCAAGGCGACGAUCCGUAGCUGGUCUGAGAGGAUGAUCAGCCACACUGGAACUGAGACACGGUCCAGACUCCUACGGGAGGCAGCAGUGGGGAAUAUUGGACAGUGGGCGCAAGCCUGAUCCAGCCAUACCGCGUGGGUGAAGAAGGCCUUCGGGUUGUAAAGCCCUUUUGUUGGGAAAGAAAAGCAGCAGGUUAAUACCCCGCUGUUCUGACGGUACCCAAAGAAUAAGCACCGGCUAACUUCGU
rnacentral:rRNA from 1 species